CUGCAGGUUACAUCAGCAAUAGGUGGCUAUAAUUCAGUAUGUUGUGUAUUAUGAAUCAUUCGUUAAAAAAAACACCGACCGAAAGCAAAACAACUCAUACUGUCUUUUGUUAAAACGUAUGUACAAAAAUACCAAAAUACUUGAUCUACUAAGCAACUAAAAUGAAUUGUGAUUUAGAUUCAUUAUAGUACCUCGAAUCUUUUGAAUCCUUUCACCAAAAGAUUCGUCACAUUCGUGCUUUCUGCAAGUUACAUCAGCAGUAGGUGGCGCUAAAUGACUAUAUUUUUGUGUAUUAUGAAUCAGUCAUUGAAUCAUUCGUUAAUACACACCAACAGAAGUCAGAUAAACUCAUACUGUAUUUUAUUAAAACAUAUGUACAAAUAUAGCCUACUAAAAUACUUAAUCUCUACUAAAUAAAUAGGCCUAAUUAUAUAAACUCGCAAUUCUGACUUUUGUUCUCAGAAUUGUGAGUUUAUAUCUCGUAAUUCUGACUUUAUAACAUGCAAUUGUGAGUUAAAUUCUGAGGGGGGAAAGUCAGUCUUUUUUUUUUUUAUCAGAAUUGUAGUUUAUAAUUUGCUUUUGCGAGUUAAUCCCCCGGUUUCACAGACAAGGCUUGCCUAGUCCCAGACUAAAAUGUAUGUUUGAGCUGUUUAACUCACAAUUGCGGAAAAAAAAAAAAAGACAGUUGCGAGUUUAUAGGCCCUAUCUCAUAUCUCUUUUUAUAUCUUGUGAGAUGUAAACUCGGAAUUGUGAGAAAAACGUCAGAACUGUGAGAUAAAAAGUUUAAUCCUUUAAUUUUUUCUCUAUAUUCUAUAUACAGUGGUAACAUGGUAAGCAUGGGUAAUGCUUAAUUAUCUAAAAUCAUGUAAUGUAGAUAAUGUAAUGCUUUCUGUAAUAUGCUUUGUUUUUGUUUUUUUACCCAUGAGUAAGUUAAGCCAUAGCGGACCUUAGUGAGCCUCCCUUGCAUGGCCAUUACAUCUGUUUACAAGACAACAAUUUGUCUUAUGGCUAAUCACAUCAAUUUGUAUUGAUGUCUAUUUGUAUUGAGACUGAGAUCUUCCCAUAAUGCAAUCAUGAUAUCGGACACUGAUAAGAUAAAAAAGAAUUUAAGUGUGGCAUGUGUUGGCUGUUUUUUUGGGGGGGGGGGGGGGUUUGGGGGGUUAUCUCCACUGCUUUUCUGUUAUGUCUCAAUCUAAACUUAAACCUAUGAAAACCUUAAUCUAUGUCAGAGUUCAGGAUCAGUGAUUGUCAGUUGGUCACAGCACAGGUUUGUUCUGAUAGACAGGAAUGAAAAAAAAAAAAAAAACAAAGCUAAAUGCUCACAAACAACAAUGCCUAGUUACACUAGAAAAAUAAAUAGGUUUAUCAGCUUUUAAAAGUGUAGGCCUACUUCCCAUAAAUUUUGUCAUUGACAUCAAAGGUGUAACAGUUCAGAGUGGCUUGGAAAGUGCACGACGAAGUAGAUGGUGAUAACAAAAGUCUUUAAUUCAAUAGCAAACACAGAAGAGUAAGAUACUGUUCACUCAAAAAAAUAACCAAACACAAACUGAACAGAACACUGAGUAUAAAUACACAUAGCAACUGAGGACACUAAACAGGCACGGCUGGACAGAGAUUAACUAAUGAAACACCAUAGCAACUAAUGAGAACCAAUGUAGACAUGACCGAAAAUGAUCUAAACUGAACAUACACGUGACAUAAGCCCCCCUCCAAAAGGUGGCGAACUCGUGCUGUGACAGAAAAAGUUUAGGAGGAGGAAAGCAGACGGAGGCUUCAGUGGAGGGCAUAGAGUUGGUGACGGACAGAAGCCUGGGGUAGGUGGCCACAGGCACCAUGGUGGAGCUGACGGUGGGAGGAUCCAGGGCGGAGUCCUGGAGAGAGGAGGAACCAGCAAAUCAGAGAGGUUGACGAACCUGGGUGACAUUGAAGGCCUGGAAGCCUGGGGCUGAGCUGCUGGCUCGCAGGACUGAGGUGGCAACGGGGACUCGGAUGAGCGGGGCGACGAUGGAGCAAGCAAGGACGAUGGGGAGCUCGGAGGAAGGGAGGAGCCCUAUGACGCCGUAGGGGUGCAGGGUGUAGGCACAGCCGGAAUCCCGGAAGUCCGUGGCAGAAGCUGGGUGUCGACCGCCGGAAACCGACCUAGAGUGACGAGGGAGCCCAGCGGAGUCUCAUAGCAGACGGGCCACGGAGACGACGAGGUAGUGGAGGUGAUGGCGACGGGCUGACAGGCUGAGGUGGAGACAUGGGCCUGGAGGCCCGAGGUGGAGCCAGGGACUCGGCCUCAUGCCGAGCUGGUGGAGGGGAAGCCCGAGACAAGGAAGAUGAGCCGCACGGAGUAAGCGGCGGGGGCAGAGCCGAGGAUCUGGACAGCACCAGUGGUGCCGACGGAUCCAGGGGACUGGCCGUGACCAGCGAUGGAGAUGGGACCAGGAAGUCAGGCAAGGAUAUAGGCAGAAGAAGAUCAUUUUCAGAUGGGACCGGCGAGGAAGAUGAAGACUCGAGGGUGGGGACUUGGGUGGGAACUGGAUCCGCGGAACACAGAUCUAUCAGGUCUAGGUCCGCUCCUAGCUCUGAGAUGGACUGACCCGCAUGCGUCGACUCCAGGGCUUUGGUGUUAUCUGGCUCUGGUUCCUGGACGAGCUUUGUGGGUGCCUUGGGCUCGCUGGCUGUGAGGGAGAGGCUUUCAUUCCGGAGCAUCCAGGCCAAAUACCCCAAAAACUUCUGGUUCUCGGGGAGGAAGAGGAGACGUAAUGCCGGCGUCCGAAGGCUAUGCCAAGGCCAGAUGGAUACAAAGAACUGUGUUCUUGCCAAAACUUUCCUGCGUCUAAAACUUACUGUCCCCAUAAACCUCCGCUUAAUUGUGAGAAAUGGCGCAGAGCGACAGACUUUAUUUUGAGGAGUGAUGCCCAGGAGAAGGACCACCACCUCUGGGCCAGCCAGCACUCCACACCAGCAGCACAAAACCCACACCAAGAAAUUGCCGCUCAAGGUCUCGUUGCUCCACCAAGGAUAAAACCAACCACAAAACUUCAUUUACUGAAAGCACAGUUCCUUGCUGACCAUCUUCAGCCUGUCAAUAACAUGGAUGAUGUACCUGCGCCAGACCCAACUUGUUCAGAUGGAAAGAAUAAUGACACCCAUUUGGAAAACUGGCACAUUCAUUCAAAAUUGACCUCACAUAAAUCAAAAAGAGUCCCUCCGAGCAUACCUGUACCUGCCAGACCCCUUCCCAAAGAGCCAGAGCAACUGAUCUCAAUGACGUCAUCUAAAAAUGAUAUUGAUGAGGGUAUUAUUAUGAAUAUACCCACAACACCAGCCCAAUCUGAAUGCUCCAGCUCACUAGUGCUGCACCACAGACAAUCAGGUUCUGACGUUUGUCCAAGUGACAGACCUCUUCCACACCUCUCUCUGUUAAAAUCAAUUCCUGCUCUCAGGAUCCAGGAUAAAAACAAAGUAACCCUUGAGCUCAACAGUGAAGUUGGAUCGGUUAGCAACAUUGUCAAGGAAAGUUUGGUUUUUGAGCUACACAAAAUAUUCUCAGGAGCGCUUAAAGAGAGAGAUUUAAGCACCAAAAAGCCAAAAGUAGAAAGACUACAUGAAAAUGUACCCAUCUCAGGUGUUUCCAAUGGAGAGAGUCCAGAAGAUGUUCCUUCUGUGAUAAAAUACCAAAAAACAGAUGGGGAGAAUCUCUCUGAGCGCUCGCUUGAAACUUCUCAGAGGACACCAACAAUGCUGCCUCUUCCUGGUUUGGUCGACAAACUAAUAGAAAGCCCCUCUAAGACAGACUCUUAUUGCAAGUGUGCUGAUACUAAGAAAAAGUCAUUGGUGAACUUAUGGCAGGAGCGAAACAUUGUAAGAGACAGUGGAAUACUGAGCCAGCUCAGUAAGGAACAGCUAAAGCUUCAAGAGCAUCUGUAUGAGGUUGUCACAUCUGAGCAGACCUAUCUUCAGAGUUUGACAGUGGCUGUGGAACUUUUUCAGGAAUCGUCAGUGCUAAAAGAUGCUCUGGCACCAAGAGACAGAAAGUCAUUGUUUUCGAGCAUUGCAAAAAUCAAAGAGAUCAGUCAAAGCUUUAUGGAUGCAAUGCUGUUGGAGCUGGCUUCAAGUGUGUUCUGUGAUGUAAUCUGUGAUGUUGUUCACCAACAUGCUCUUGGACCCUUUGGGGCUUAUAUGAAUUACAUCCGUAAUAUGCACUAUCAGGAGCAGACAUUGCACAACCUUAGUAAAGAGAGUCCUCAGAUUGUGGAGAUCUUGCAUAAACUACAGGAAGACCCUCGAUGCAACCGACUACCCCUCAAAUCUUUCCUUUCACUGCCAUUUCAGAGAAUCACUCGGCUUAAAAUCCUAAUGCAGAAUAUUCAGAAGAAGGCCAUUCCGGGAUCAGAUUGUGAGGCCUCAGCACUGAGAGCUUUGACGGAGAUCUCCAGACUACUAGAGGCUUGCAACUGGCAGGUGGGCAGAAUGAAACAGAUGGAAGAAAUAGUGCAGAUUGCUAACAAGAUUGAGUUUGCAUGCAAGGUAGUUGCAGGAGGUCGCUGGUAAACCGUUCACAUAUAGGCCCUGCCUCUUGUGUCUUCCUCCCGCUGGCUUGUGAAACAGGGAGAUCUGGUUCAAAUCUCUUCAAAGGAAAACAUGUUUGGCCAGAGAAAACUGUGUCAUGUACUUCUGUUCCUCUUUAAUGAUCUGCUGCUGGUGGCAACUAGGAAAGGGCUGGACCGGUUUGUAGUUCAGGACUAUGUGCACCGCUCUCUGAUAGAGGUGACUGAGGGGAAAGACCUGGAGGAGGAGUUGGAGGGAUGUGAGCUGAACCGGAUAUUUCGGCUGGCACUUCUGCAUAAUCACCGGAGCACCACGUCUCAACUUCUGCUGCAAACAAAUUCAGAAGCUGAGAAAGACUUAUGGGUGGAUCUUCUAGGUGGGCGGAAAGAUAGAGAGGACUCUGUGUAUGAAGAGUGGGACUGUCCUCAGGUGCGUUGUAUUGAGGUGUACAGAGGACAACAACGAGGGGAGCUUAGUCUACAGCUAGGAGAUAUGAUCAACAUCAUACAGAAGACUACUGAUGGGUUCAUGGAGGGCCGUAGGGUACAGGAUGGACAGCGGGGCUGGUUCUCUGCUGCAUGUGUGGUAGAGAUCACCAAUGAACAUGUGCAGAGACGUCAUCUUCGUCAGCGGUAUCAUGUCCUACAGACAGCCACACGCCUGCUGAAACAACGUAGUGGAGGCCUUGAACAACGAACCACAACAUGCUUUAAAUGAGAGACUGCUUUGCUAGACAGUCUAUAUUUAGAGACUUUGACUUCAGUUUCAGUUGGUCUUUUGGUCUAAGUUUAGCUUAUAUUUUUAUGUAUGUGUAGCCUAUGUAUAGGCCUAUAUGUUUCACUUGGUCUUUUCCAGACCUUUUUAUAUGUCUGGUUUUACAGAACAAAUGUGAUUUAAGAAGUACUGAAGAUAUUUUCUAUGGUUUACGACAAAUAACAUGGUCAAUACUGUCAGCAAAUGUGGCUGUUUUUGUUUCUUUGUUAUGUAAUGUACUGUGUAGGUCAUGCUUAUUCUGUUUUGCUCCCUUUCAUUCUGUUAAAAUAAAUUUUGUAAUGAUAAUCUAUA